CCUACGGGAGGCAGCAGUGGGGAAUAUUGCACAAUGGGGGAAACCCUGAUGCAGCAACGCCGCGUGAAGGAAGACGGUUUUCGGAUUGUAAACUUCUGUUCUUAGUGAAGAAUCUUGACGUUAGCUAAGGAGCAAGCCACGGCUAACUACGUGCCAGCAGCCGCGGUAAGACGGAGGUGGCAAGCGUUGUCCGGAAUUACUGGGUGGAAAGGAGGCGCAGGCGGGUAGACAAUUCAGCUGUGAAAACUACGGGCUUAACUUGUAGACUGUCGUUGAAACUGGUUGUCUUGAGUGAAGUAGAGGUUGGCGGAAUUCCGAGUGUAGCGGUGAAAUGCGUAGAUAUUCGGAGGAACACCGGUGGCGAAGGCGGCCAACUGGACUUUAACUGACGCUGAGGCUCGAAAGUGUGGGGAGCAAACAGGAUUAGAUACCCUUGUAGUC
rnacentral:rRNA from 1 species